GUAGGGGUGCAAGCGUUAAUCGGAAUUACUGGGCGUAAAGCGUGCGCAGGGCGGUUUUGUAAGUCUGACGUGAAAUCCCCGGGGCUUAACCUGGGAAUUGCGUUGGAGACUGCAAGGCUGGAGUCUGGCAGAGGGGGGUAGAAUUCCACGUGUAGCAGUGAAAUGCGUAGAGAUGUGGAGGAACACCGAUGGCGAAGGCAGCCCCCUGGGUCAAGACUGACGCUCAUGCACGAAAGCGUGGGGAGCAAACAGGAUUAGAUACCCUGGUAGUCCACGCCCUAAACGAUGUCUACUAGUUGUCGGGUCUUAAUUGACUCGGUAACGCAGCUAACGCGUGAAGUAGACCGCCUGGGGAGUACGGUCGCAAGAUUA
rnacentral:rRNA from 1 species